rnacentral:rRNA from 1 species
GCAUAUCAAUAAGCGGAGGAAAAGAAACCAACAGGGAUUGCCCUAGUAACGGCGAGUGAAGCGGCAACAGCUCAAAUUUGAAAUCUGGCUCUCGGGCCCGAGUUGUAAUUUGUAGAGGAUGCUUUUGAUGCGGUGCCUUCCGAGUUCCCUGGAACGGGACGCCAUAGAGGGUGAGAGCCCCGUCUGGUUGGAUGCCAAAUCUCUGUAAAGCUCCUUCGACGAGUCGAGUAGUUUGGGAAUGCUGCUCUAAAUGGGAGGUAUAUGUCUUCUAAAGCUAAAUACCGGCCAGAGACCGAUAGCGCACAAGUAGAGUGAUCGAAAGAUGAAAAGCACUUUGAAAAGAGAGUUAAAAAGUACGUGAAAUUGUUGAAAGGGAAGCGUUUAUGACCAGACUUGGGCUUGGUUAAUCAUCUGGGGUUCUCCCCAGUGCACUUUUCCAGUCCAGGCCAGCAUCAGUUUUCGCCGGGGGAUAAAGGCUUCGGGAAUGUGGCUCUCUCCGGGGAGUGUUAUAGCCCGUUGCGUAAUACCCUGGCGGGGACUGAGGUUCGCGCAUCUGCAAGGAUGCUGGCGUAAUGGUCAUCAACGACCCGUCUUGAAACACGGACCAAGGAGUCGUCUUCGUAUGCGAGUUUUGGGUG